UUGUGCCUGAAUUCAGAAACUAUAGUUUUUUCUAGAGUCAUAUAAAGUCACACUACACCAAUGUUUCCUUGGUCUAAAGCAGUGUUUCUCAACAUUCCUAGUGCUGUGACCCUUUAACACAGUUCUUCAUGUUGUGGUGACCCCCCCCCAACCAUAAAACUACUUUUGUUGCUACUUCAUAACUGUAAUUUUACUGCUGUUAUGGGUCAUAAUGUAGUUUUCCAAAAUGGUCAUGACCCAAAGGUUGAGAACAACUGUUCUAAAGUAUAAUUUUUUUAUUACAUUUGUUUUGUGUGUGUGUGCGCACGCGAGUGCACUCGCUUGCUUGCUGAUGUGACACCAUGUACAUGUGGCAAUCAGGAGGCCAGAAGACAGUCUAUAGGAAUACAGUUAUCUCUCUGGGCUGUGGAGAAUAAACUUAGGCCACCAAGUUUCAUGGCAAGUACCUUUACCUUCUGAGGCACCUUGUUGGCCUAAAGUAUAAGAUUUUAUAUGAACUAGAUUUUAGGGGGAAAUUUUUUUCUCUGGCAUUAGUAAAAAUUGUUGAUACUUCUUCUCUCUUUUACAUAUGGAUUAACCUGUUCAGUUUUAGCUUAUGGGUGACUCAUACAUUGUUAGCAUUUUGCUGUGGCAUUGGGUGGUCUUUAGUAUUUUGUGGACUAUUUUAUAAAAUGCCACCCAAGAAACACAUUGGAGAUGGUAUUUAUUGCCUUAAUCUUGUUGUCUAAAUGGAGAAGUUGCUAACUAAAUGUUUUCUGGAGCUUUUUCUUAAUUGCAGUGUGGUUAAUUCCUCUCAACUGCAGGAAGCCAAGGUAUUUAUAGGUUGUUAUUAUUUUUGUGGUUGGUAGAAGUAAUCAGCGUUCGUUGGGUGCCAAGAACAUGCUUGGCACGAAGGGGAAAGAAUCAUAUCUUUUUGCCCUGUGAACUUGAUGUGGCAUGAUCUAAGUGGGGAAGAGGGAAGGAGAGGAUACAUUUUCACAAAAUGUGUUUUUUUUUUUCUAAAAAAGGAAAGAUAAUGAGCUUCAGUUCAAAAGGACACCAGAAUCCAACCACAGCACGAAACUUGGGUGACACAGUCAGCAAGCUAGUAUUUGUGGUAAAUCUGACAGAUCUGACAUGUGAGUCAGAGCAAACCCAGGGACAACAGAUAACCGAUAACUUCCCUCAAAGCAAGACCACAGAGGUACAGAUGGGGGGGGGGGGAGAGGAGAGGAGAGCUGAGAAAAUGGCUGGUUCGCCUUUGCUGUAAGGGGAAAGGAAUCCUGGAACAUUGGGUUCUUCUCCUUACCUACUGGCUACCUAGUUGGACUCUGACCUUCUAGACAUCCCCUCCUCCUGUCCCCGACUCUAGUGUCCUGGUUUAGAGCCUCCUCACCUCCCCAUAGUGUCCCUCACUUUUGCCCUCUUUGAUCCACCAUCUACCAAGCAGCCAGAUACAUCUGACCCAGUGCAUUGCUCAGGGCUGGAGAGGUGGCUCAGUGGGUGAAGCCUGACGACCUGAAUUGGGUCAAUACCCAACUCCCACAAAGUCUGUUGCACAGACCCCUAAAUGGCUGCCUGUGAUUUCAGUAAGGGUAUAAGACCCUCCUGCCUUGCCCUGUCUGUGCAUUCUGCCUCAUUUCACUGGUGGGCCAAAGACUGGUAGCAGCUAAACACACCAGGGAACAAUGCCGGCCUAGCUUUUGUUUCUGUGUGUACUGCGCACCUGCCUAAAAUGGGCCCCUUCCUCUGUUUCUACCCAGGAGUUCUUCUACUCAUCCUGCAAGUUCAAAGACCAUUUCCCAGACCGCUUCUGGCCAGUGCCCAAGAGAAUUAGGUGCUUGUCUAUCUGAACUUGUACUGGACUUUGUAGAUAUCACCUUAGCACAGCUGUGACCCCUGCGUGUUGUUCCUGUUGAAGCACGUGUCUGUCUCUUGUGUGCUAUUAGCACUUAAAAGGCUAGUGUCUUCUUUUCCUGCUUUGUAGCAAUCCUUGCAAGGAGGACUGGGUCACGCCGAGCUGCCAGAUCCUCAAGGACACAGCGUGUUUUGAGAAUCUGCAACGAUUUUCGGCUUUAGUAUAUUGCAAGGAGAAUAGGCUCUUGGAACCCUGAGAGGAUGUAUUUAUUUCUCAUUCUGGAAGAUUUCCAGGACUGGAGGACAGGAACAGUUGGUACAAAUGUCCUGGAUCUGUGGAUGUCAUUUUGACGUGGGGACACCUGCUCUGGGUACAAAACUGGGAUUUUCUUUGGACCCUGAGACUCAGAAGCCUUCAUGUCUCCUACAGGCACAGCAGAGUCUGUGUAGAGGAUGGCUGUUCCAGGUUUUCUCUGCAAUGCAAUUACUGUGGCCAUCUGGGGAUCUGCCUGAGAGCAUGAGGAUGUCUUGGGCACUUCUGACUUUCGGAAACUUGGGGACGGGAAGUUUCAAGACUAGUGGGAAACAGGUAGACCUACUUUUGAGAGCACUGCAGAUGUCAAGCAUCCUCCUCCUAGCCACUCGGAUGAACACAUUGGAAUUCUGGACCACUCUAGCCAUCCCCAGAGCUGUUUCUUUGUACUUUGUCUUCUGUACUUCUCCAACACUCUUGAUUUGCCAUCCUCCUUCAGGGCAUUGGGUUAGCCUGUGCUCUGGAAGCCUCCUGUUAUCAACUGGUCUGAAUGAACACCCAUCACCAUGGCUUAUAGGAGUGCUGUGCAUGAUCAGCACAAUGUGGUGUGGCUACUGUGUUCUUUGCGUUAAUGCUGAGGUGGUCUAGGAACUCCAGGACCCAUCGAAGUAAGCCACAGGGCCCUGCUUCCUCCCACCCAUCCUCACUUUGUACCCCAUCCAUCUCUAAGCUCUCCUGUUUCAGCAUUCAUUUGCUUGCUCAGCAUUUUGCGAUCCAGCUGCCUUGGCUACUUAAGUCUCUCCAAGUCCACACUUGUGUACAGCUGCAUAUGCACUUGAGUGUUGCUGUGUUGUCGUAUGCGUAGAAUGUUAUGGUUGCUUAUAUGUGUCUCCAUCUUGCAUAUUUAUUUGUGAAUGCACAGAUACAGCAGCCCCCUUAACUGAAAGCAAGAAGCAGCAGUUCUCCUUGGUUUGGGGUAUAUGUGUAAACACCAGUUGAUCUGUGACAGAGACUAAAUGUGUAAGGGGCGGGGUGGGUCGGGGUGCUGGGAUGGUCUUUGAAGCCAGUAUCCAUUCCUUAUAGUCAAUGUUACAUAUAAACCCGAGAAAAAGACUGUAUCAAGCAGCUUCUUUGCUUUCUUCUUAGGUAUGCAAUAUGUUGGCUUGCUAAGCAACUGUAGUUGAUAUAACAAAUAUAUACUACUCACUAGUAGCCAGUUGCCUCAAAACUCAUCAGUUGAGGGCCAACAAGAUAGCUUAGCAGGUAAAGUGCCUGCCACUGAUCCCGAUGACGUGAGUUCGAUCCCUGGGACCCAUCUGAUGGAAGGAGAGAACCUGACUCUUACAAGUUUCCUCUACACUUGUGUUGUGGGCCUGUGUACCUCCCUAUCAAUAAGUAAAUGUAGUGAAAAUUAAUAAAAACCUCACCAGUUGAAAGCUGCUCUCGUUCGUUUGUUAUCAUGGUUUUCAUGGGUUUAGAGGAGGAAGGUAACUGUGUGGUUCUUGCUGUAGGUCUUGGGAGAUUAUAUUUAGUUUGCCUGACUUGUGCCACAGGGCAGGGUGUUGAUGGGAUAUGUGGUUUUCCUUUGGUUAGGUUUUGUAAAUGUGGGCACAGUGACCCAAGAGGAUAAGACUGUAGCAAUGGGGUGGGUAAAGUUCUCGGAAUUUGUAUAAAAAUAUAGGAAUUUAUAUUAAUAUGGUUAUUAAUAAUUAUGGUGCUAGAGCCUUUAUUUCCUUCAUUUGCUGGCCAUGCCAGAUCCAACCCUGUCAGGGGGUGAAGAAGCUGGUGUGACUGAAUCCUGGCCAGGCAGGAUCUGAGGUCGAUGCUGUCCACUGUCUGUCAUUAUAAGAAAAUGUCCAAGGCCGGAUACCUAAUAAGGGGUCAUGGUUUAUUUAGCUCAUGGUUCUGGAGGCUGGGAAGACCAAGGGCAGUCUACCUAUGAGGACCGUCCUGCAGUGUUAUGGGAGGCAGAGGGAGUCACAGGAUAAGAAGGAGCAAGCAGAUCAGAGGAGCGUUUAAAACAAAGCCACCCCUACAGCAAUACAUUCAUUAAUUGGAGAAUGGAUAACUCCUUCCACAGGGGCCCAGCCCCCCUCAGUCAGUCACUUCCCAGAGGCCCCAGCUCCAACUACCACCAGCCUGUAACUUUGAAUGUUAAGUUUCUGACACGUUAAGUCCUGGGGAACAAACAUUCAAAGCACAGCUACUUCAGGUCACCCUAAAGGGCAGUUCUUUCUCUCUUGGAAUCUCCCUUUAUUCCCAUGAGGAGCGCAGGGAAGGAGUUUGCAUAGCAGCACCUAUGCUAUCUGGUAGGUUAGGGUGUUUACUCCUCUGUUAUGGGAACCCUUCAGGGUCGAGAGGAGAGGACACCUUAUCCCACUAUUAUCUAGGGCUGGAGAUACCUGGCCUGUGGGGAUUUCAGGGCUAAAACCAGGACGUGGCCUGGAAGACUGGACUGAUUGUCCUAUCUAACUGUGUGUAAAGUUGCUUCCGGUUGCAGUCCUGCACCUAACUGUUCUUGCCCCAAGGAACUUCCCAGCUCAGGAGAGGCAAGCAUGUAGUUGAAGCCUCCCAUGGCCCAGAGCCCUGCUUUGAGAUGUUGCAACAUUUACCCUGACCCAGUAGGAGCUGCCUGUGCCUGGCUUGAGUUUUGGCCUCAUCCCUUCCUCAUUAGUAUUGCUCUCUGAACUUCCUGUAACUCCAAGGGUGAGGAGAUAGAACACUACAGGUUCUAACCACCAAGGCACCAUGCUUUUGUGUGGUUUUGGGCCAGACGCCAGCCUGAGCUUAUGGCUUGCUUCUUGUUUGUCUCUGAGGGUGAGUUUUUUCCUGUCACCCAUCCUGGGGACAAGCCUUGUCUGUGAGUGACUGACAGGUAUUCUAUGACUGGAAGUGGCUUCAUGGCAGCAAGCUCUCCAUUCUGUGUAAGGAGCAGCGGAUGUUUCCUCAGAGGCUCCCUUCUGAAGUUUUGCUUGUAUGGGUUGUGCAAAGUGACUGUUGAGGAGACUUCUUGUGAAGGGGAGAGAAUAAGAUGUGGCUUCUGCUGGGGUAGAUGGACAAGACUGAGCAAUGGAGACGUAUUUGGUACUGUUGUACGGAGCAUGAGUCUUUUGCACCGCCUCCCCCAAACAUUCAUGCUAAGCCGGGCAGUGGUGGUACAUGCCUUUAAUCCCAGCACUUGGAAGGCAGAAGUCGGUGGAUAUCUGUGAGUUUGAGGUCAGCCUGGUCUACAAAGUGAUUUCUGGAAUAGCCAGAGCUAUACAGAGAAACCACAUCUUGAACUCCCACCCUUAAAAAAACAAAAACAAAAACAAAAAACUUGUUCACAUCAGUUUCUCCUUGAAACUGUCUUUUGCUUUUGAAGCCAUCAUACAAGUCUGGACCCUUGCUGUUGGUUCUUGGUGUCUUGGAGUGGGAAGCAAGCAGUGCUUUGAGGCUGAUUUAAGCCAGGCCUGGCACAGUCUUACUUAGGUUUCCAAAACCAUUUUUCUACGUCCCAAAGAAGACCGUUGUCUGCACUCUCUCCUGCCUGGGAUGGCUGCCUCCUUUGCUAGUGUCAGAUUCUCCCAUCAUUUCCGAACCCUGACCUCUCUGCCUCUGUGUUUCCUUUCUGUAACAGACAUAAGUGCUCUGUAACUUUCUCAUAAAGAAAGUCAAGUUCCAGGGUGGCACUGCCUGCUUCUCCAGCAUGGGCUCCUUUAACUCCUGCAUUAGCAUUCUUAUGCUUUGACAAAUAACUGAGAGAGAUAAGGGAGGAAAGACGGAUUUUUGGCUUACGUUUUCCGUUCAUAAUCACUUGGUUUUGUUGCUUGCUUCUGGGCCUGCGGUGUGUCAGUGUGUCAUGAUGGCAGGGCACGGCACAGGACAGCUCUUUACUUCCUGGCAGCCAGGAAGCAGAGAGGGACAGGGGACAAGAAAUGCCCUUCAAAGAUGUGCCCCCAGUGACCCAUUUCUUCCAUCUUGGCAGGAUCUCAUAGGUCUCUGUUCCCAAUCAUUCCAUCAAAAUUCGUCAACGAAGCCAGAACCUCAUGGUCCAGUGACUUCCCAAAAGUCUGACAUCUGGCAACUGAGCCUCCAACACUGGAGUCUUCAGGGGACAUUUCAGAUACAAACACUGCCGGGAACAGUAGGGAACAUAGCUUCAUGUGGGGGCUGUAGCAGCCUAAGGAUUUAACUUCUGAGACCUCUAAUCAGGUGAGGCUGGGAUUUCGAUUGAUACUACAGAAAGAAUUUCAGUUUGAGUCAGGGAGAGCAAAUUUGGGGCUUAUUAGGUAAAGAAAAGUACAUUGUUUAAUACAAGGAAAGAUAACUCACACUAUGCAUUUGAGCAUGGCCAUGAAGACACAUCCACACAAGAAAGAAUAGACGUACAUAACAAGGUUGGAGGGAGGUGCCUGCUUCUCAAAGGAGAGAACUGUAGUCACACACACACACACACACACACACACACUUUUAAGGCCCUGAAUGUGUGUUUGUGUGUGUGUGUGUGUGUGUGUGUGUGUAUGUGUAGACUAGUGUCUGACCUCAGGUGUCUUACUUGUUUACUUCAAUUCUGAGGCAGGGCCUCUCAUUCUGAACACUGAACUUGGUAAUUUGGUUAGGCUAGUUUGCCAGCUAGCCUUAGGGGAAUCCGCUGUCUCUAUGUACCAAUUGCUGGGGUUGCAGGCAGGCAGUCAUGGGUACCGAACAUACACAGCUGCCAAAUUACCUCCUUAACCCCAAUUUGGACCGUGGUAGAUUUGAAGUUCUGGUGUCCAAAGCAUUUAAAAGAUUAAGUAGAAGUCUUUUGGGUAUUGAUGGUCUUAGCAUUGCUAUUGCUGUGGUAAAACAGUAUGGCCAAAUGCAAGUUGGGGAGGCAAGGGUUUAUUUGGUUUAUGUUCCAAUAUCACUGUCCAUUACUGAAGGAAGUCAGGACAGGAACUCAAAUCAGGGCAGAAUCCUAGGGACAGGGGCUGAUGCAAAGGCCAUGGAGGGGUGCUGCUUACUGGCUUGCUCAGUCUGAUUUUUUUAAAAAA